UAAAUAAUUUUCGUUGUUUUCACAGUUUUUUACUGUUUUUCUCGACAGUUUCUUACUGUAUAAGUUGUUUACAGUUUGUUACUAUAGAUUUGUUGUUUCCACAGUAUUUUAAUGUAUUUUCAACAGUUUUUUACUGCAUAAGCUUUGUACAGUAGGCUACUGUAGUUUUCCAAUGCAUUAUGGGAAAUAUUACUCUGAAUACAGUAUUACCAACCAACUGCAAAACACAAUGACAAACGUCUAUUUAUAUCUUAAAUGCUUAAUUUUUUUGUGAGAUAUUUGGUUUAAUGUCUGUUUUCACAUCAGAUGCUCGGUGUGUUCCUUUAACAUAAAUCAGGUGCCUUUUCUGAGGCUUUAAUGAAAUCACCAGCCAAUUCAAUAGACAUACCAUCAGUUCUUAAUAUUGUUGCCUCUGUGUCACAAAAUGUAUUUUUAAGAUUAGUUUAGGCGAUAAUAUAUAUAUGUAUAAUCUUCAAAUAGCAGUCGAUUAGUUAAAAAAGCGCUAAUUUUAGAAUUUGAUUAAACAAAUGCGGAGGGUUCAGGCGCGAGUCGGUCACGUGAUGUGCUCCUCAGUUCUGUCAGUAGGGGGAGUGGGAGAACGCGUGUGUGUCGUCGUAUCUGUUCUGCUCAUCUAGCGCGUAUUUCUUUAUUAAUAUCUGCUGGGUGAAUAUUAAUACGUAUAUGCUAACAUUAAUUUUGUGACCACAAAAUGACAGCGAGCUAUUAUACGAGAUAUUGUGUCGUCGUGUUUGUCUUCACUCACUUCAUCAUUAUCUGGUAAGUGCUAUAUGCAAUAUCUGGUAUGAGACUUUAUUGGCACUAAAGGGUUCUUUCGGCUAAAUUUUACUUAAUUUCUGUCAUAACAGCAAACAACUUCUGCAACUACACAAUGAUUGUCUGCCUGUGUGCAAAAUAAAGCACGUUCACUGUGUAAAACCCCGCGCAGGGCAUUUUCAAAUUAACGGUCAGGGCGAGUCUGAGCUUAUCGUGUUGUGUUGACAGAGACUUUGCUGAGUGUAUGUAAAUCUGGGCUACAGUCCACGACAAAUUUUCUACGGUAGUUUUAGGCCUGCAUGCUGGUCCUUUCGUCUAUCGCGGGGAUAUCAUCACUUCAGCGGACAUCGCACUGAAGAGAUCCUGUGCUUGCGUGGCGGUGUGUUUGUGUGCUCACUUGGAUUGAGACCAGCAGUGCUUUUUUAAACACUGGAUUCUUUAUGACAUCAAGAUGUGGUUUGGGAAGGACCUUCAUCUAAAUCUGAAGACAGGACAUACUGGCUCAAAAAGCGUUUGGUCAGGAACUGCCUAUACACUUGAAAAAUGCACAGAACUGGAACAGCACAUCAGUUGGGAGCACAUUAACAAGGAUGAAAUGUAUCCAAUAAUUAUUUUAAUAUUUAUAGGUGUUUCUGAUAUGGAGAAAAACCCAGCACUGCUCAUUUUAUUUCUUCAUCUUGAGAAUACAGCAAGUUUACCUUUUGUCUGGAAAAUGAUUCAGCAAAGCUAACACCAACAACAAUUUUUCAUGGCACUUUAAACCACCUUGAUGUGAGGAGCCAGCAUCAGAAUGGAUGGUGUCAAUAUCCUGAAAGUGGAGGUAACAGAGGUGGAUCUCGAGACUUGGCCAUGUUCUAGAUUAUAACUGGAUUAUCACAAGUGCUGUCGCCCCUGCUGUAUAUGACGCCCCCACCACCUACACCAGGUGUAGGAAAUGUCGGUCCUGGAGUGCCGUUGUCCUGCAGAGUUUUGCUCCAGCUCUAAACAAACACACCUGAACAACUAGAUCUGAAGAGUCACCAGAAAACUACAGGUAGGCGAGGUUUUAUCAGGGUUGGAAAUGAAAUCUGCAGGAUUUCGGCACUCCAGGACCGACGUUGCCUACUACUGACCUACACCUUCAUCCUGCCACCACCACCCAUACUACCUACAAAAAACUGUAUUGUAAUUAUGCUUUUCACUGUAUUGUAUGAUGUGGUUUUCUCAUUUAGGGUAACUACACUAUGACAACAAUUGGAUACAUUGAUUGCUGACUGAUUUUGUUAUUUUUUCUUUACUUUUUGUUUAAAAUCUAAUCAUUUUUUUGUUAUUUUUGUUAAUAUUGUUACAAAUAUACAGUUAAAAACUGCACAAUAAAUUGUCUGCUUUUAAA